AGUAAUGUAUGGGGAUCUGCCUGAUGGCGGGGGAUAACUACUGGAAACGGUAGCUAAUACCGCAUAAUGUCUGCGGACCAAGGCGGGGGACCUCCGGGCCUCGCGCCAUCAGAUGAACCCAUAUGGGAUUAGCUUGUAGGUAAGGUAACGGCUUACCUAGGCGACGAUCCCUAGCUGGUCUGAGAGGAUGAUCAGCCACACUGGGACUGAGACACGGCCCAG
rnacentral:rRNA from 1 species